rfam:Sphaerobolus stellatus SS14 unplaced genomic scaffold SPHSTscaffold_97, whole genome shotgun sequence.
CUCUGGGUAGCUCAGUUGGAAGAGCGUCAGACUGUAAUGGAUACCUUCGUCUCAUCUGAAUGUCACUGGUUCGAUCCCGGUCCCGGAGA